GGUGGGGGCGGAAGGAGGAGCCACAGAGGGAGGGUUGUCAUUGGUCGGCUCUGGUUUCCAGGACAACAGGCGCAACCAAUCAGAGUGAGAGCUGCGUUUUUCCCUCGGCUUUCAGUCCGCUGCCGUCUGCAGUUCGCGAUGGCUGAACGAGCUGGGGUAAGUACAUUUCAAAGGACUUUCUAAACUUAUUUUAGUCAUUUCCUCGUCUUUUUAUUUAGACAAGGUGACACACUAACAUAACGUCAUGCUAUUUAUACCAUUAUUAAGGCCUUAUAAGAUAUUUGUACAAAUAUGUAGUCUAGCUAAAGUUUAUAUGAGCUGCUUUGCUAAGUUAGCAGAAACAAAAACGCCACUGCUAACACUGAAGUCUUGCAUUAAGGCCACUGUGUUUGGGUAUAAUCCCAGGGGUGUUUCUCAAUGUCAGGCUUUGAGGACACUGUCCUUCCUUGGUCAAAGAAAACAGUUAAAUGGAGCUGACUUGCGUCACGUGACCAGGGCUCCCGUGAUGGUCACAUGACGUGCGGCAAAGUUAUAAUUAUACUUAUAAGUUGUAUAAUGAGCAUUUUACUUUUUAAAUUGCGUGUAUAUUGCUUGAAUUACAUGUAUAAGGGAGUUACUAAUUGCUGGCCAUCAAAGCUGCAACGAUUAGGCAGCACCAACUAACCAACUUCUGAUUAAAAAAAUAAACAUUUUAGAUAUCAGCCUGAUAGUUACAAUUAGUUUUUUUAAUCACCAGUAAAACAAUAAAAAGUAAUCAUUUGAAACCUUUAACUCUUGUUUCCUUUCUCGGGGAUCCUAUUUUCAGGCACUGUUUAGACUCAGCUGACAGUCUGUGGGCCACGUCCAGCCCGCAGGUUCAUUCUUUGUAGCCCUUGGUCCACCAGGACAGGGAUGCACUGACAUCUGGCCAGGUCAGAUGUCUUAUCUGUCGUAUUCCGAUGCCAGGAAAAGGCAGAUUGCAAUGCUGAGAUGGUUCUGGACCACAUCACCUGGCCGGAUGAAGAAGAGCUGGAGGAUGACAGCGAAUCUCCUCUUGCUGUGAAAUGUUAGAUCACAAGCUACUUGCGUAGAUUUGUUGAGACAGGUAUUUGGCUUUUUUCUGGUUACACUCAAACUACAACUUUAUUUAUAAAGCGCUUUUCAAACAAAAAAAUGAAACUCAAAUAGCUUCAGAGGAAGAAAAAAAAUGACCCACAGAUUGAAAAGACCUGACAUAUCCCACAAAAUUCAUUGUCAAUUGAAACCCCCUUCCCCGACCCAGUAACACGCAUAUACACACACACACAUACCCACAUGCACACACAACACAUUAGAGAACAUAUGCAAACACUGGGCAGAACUCAGAUGAGUCAGGAAACGCCAUCAGGCGAGCCGUCUGAUCCAACUCCAGUAGAUCCACAGCAGCAGCCAGGGCACCGAGACAGGUCUCACAGAGGAGGGAGGACAAGGGCCCCCACCUACACCCAAGCACUACCUGGAGAGCACCCAGGCCACUGCCGCUGACCACUGGCCCUGAGGCAGAGGGCUCCCACUGAGGAAACGCUGUAAAGUAUUAGAAUAAGUAAAAGAAUGAAAUAAAAAGAGGUAAUGUAUGAAUAAGUAGUGACCAAUAUAAUUGUAGAAAUAGUAAAACAAUAUCAAAUCAUAAAUAUAUAACAAAACUUUCUUAAAAUAUAAGAAAUUUAAUCAUAAAUAAUAAGCAGUUAAAAGCUAAGCUAAAAAAGUUCAUUCUUCGGCCUGUUCUUAAAGUUUCUCUCUGGUCCUGAGGUCCUCAGGCAGCCUGCUCCAGAGGCAAGGGCCAUUAUAUUGUGAGGACGCCUGACCAUUGUUGUUUGUCCUGACAUUCGGGAUCACAAGGCGAUGGCUGCAAGAGGAGUGCAGAGGACGUGAGGGUUUGUAUGGUAAAGUCAGUUCAGAAAGGCUAGAAGGGCCAAGACCAUUAUGACACUUUAAAACCAUUACAAAAACCUGAAAAUCAUUGGAAUAAACCUUAAAGUCAUAAUAGGUUUAAACAGUUGUCUUUCACAAAAUGUGUACAAUCAAACUAUUUUAGAAGCCUUAACCCUCCCACUGUCUUCAUGGGUGACCCCACCAGGAAAGACCUCACCCCUGCCACAUGGACCUCAAGGGAUAAACCAUCAACCCUGCUCAGUGGUCAACUUUCCUGGUGGGGUCACCCAUGAAGACAGUGGGAGGGUUAAAAUGAGUAAAGUGUUUUAUAUGACACAGCAGAUAAGGUGGGUUUGCUACAUUCUAAGUAUCUUGUGUAAACAUGGCACAGAAGAUCUUUUAUAUCUCAUUUGUCUUUGCCAUUUUUUCUUUUCUUUUUCAGUGUAUGAAGAGCAAAGGAAGCAGCUCGUGAAGUUUGGGGUUGGAUGGGAGAAACCCAUGAAGGAUAUGAAAGUGGAAAUAAUGCAGGCAGACCAUCCAACCUCAUCUAGCUGCUUCCAUAUUCUACGUCUGCCCUGCCACUACACAACAUUUGAUGUUUCGCAAUCAUCUUGAAAGUUGCAUAGCAACCAAUGUUCAUGGUUUUGGAUUGAUCUAAAGUUUAACGUCAUGCUAUUUGCCAGUGCUGUUCAGGUUAUACCAAACAAAUCUUUUUUUUAUUUAACCAUCAAGUUACAGCUGAAAGUUUCAGGAAUAUUGAGUUACAAGUAAGGCACAGCUGUGUUAUAUGAUAAAUGUUUUAUUGUAAUUUUACAAGUAGAGAAAUCAUUUUCAAGAUUGCAUUUUAUACAUAUGCAACAAACAAAACGUUGCUGCAUCCAGGGUCAUGACAAUAGAACAAUAUUUUUGUAGCUUAAUGCUAAAUGUUUUUUCCUGUCACUUGCUUAAGUUCAAGAUGUUAUUAAUAAAAAAAAUUUUUAAAAACUUAAAAAA